GUGCCCAGGCGCGAAAACUUUACCAUGCGGGAAACCGUGAUAAGGGAACUCCGAGUGCCCGUAAAAUCGGGCUGUCCAUCUGUUUAAAUAACAGGUGAAGAAAGGGCCGGGCAAGACCGGUGCCAGCCGCCGCGGUAAUACCGGCGGCUCGAGUGGUGGCCACUAUUACUGGGCUUAAAGCGUUCGUAGCUGGUCUGUUAAGUCUCUGGGGAAAUCUACUGGCUUAACCAAUAGGCGUUUCAGGGAUACUGGCAGACUAGGGACCGGGAGAGGUGAGGGGUACUCCAGGGGUAGGAGUGAAAUCCUGUAAUCCUUGGGGGACCACCUGUGGCGAAGGCGCCUCACCAGAACGGCUCCGACAGUGAGGGACGAAAGCUGGGGGAGCAAACCGGAUUAGAUACCCGGGUAGUCCCAGCCGUAAACGAUGCGCGUUAGGUGUAUCGGUGACCACGAGUCACCGAGGUGCCGAAGAGAAAUCGUGAAACGUGCCGCCUGGGAAGUACGGUCGCAAGGCUGAAACUUAAAGGAAUUGGCGGGGGAGCAC
rnacentral:rRNA from 1 species